AGAUAGUGCUCAGGUCACUCCCCUGAAGCCUAGACCUGACUGAAGGUGGAACCCGCCCCUGAUGGAUCUGUAGGAGGAGCUCAGGAAAAGGACAAGAUAUGGAAGCAGGACUGUUGUUUGUAGAACCAAGAGAAGACCGUCUGGAGUACAAUGAAUGGAAAGUCUCCAAGGAAAAGUCACAAGAUGGAAAUAGCCUGGGUCCUGAAAUGAACCAUCUAUCAAGUAUAUCAACAUUGGACAUGACAUUAGGCAAAUCUGCUGGUGAUGAAUUCCCUCAGUUUUUGUUUAUCUGAGAAAACCUUUAUUUCCCCUUCACAUUUCAAGGAUAAUUUUGCUGGACAUAGAACUCCAUGUUGAUGCUCCCAGAAGUCUUAGAAGGAGAAUGUCCCAGAAAUAUCCCAUGAAUCUAUGAGGAAGAAAUUCAUAAAAUUGUAUGGAUCAUGAUCUUUUACAAAUAUUUCACUGCCUUUUUUUUUUUUCUCUCACACCCAAAUAACAGUCCAGGAAAAAUGAAAUAAGAUAAAACAAAAUGUCUUCAGACAACCAUGUGUGUCUUUUCUGUGUGCCUUCUCCAUUUCUCUACAGUGAUUUAACGAACAUUAAUCACAUAAAAAAAUUAUUUCUCUACAGUGAUUUAACGAACGUUAAUCACAUAAAAAAAUUAUAUCACAAAAAAAAGAAAUUCAUAAAAUUGUAUGGAUCAUGA